GAGGGUAUAGCUCAGGGUAUAGUGUGUGCUUAGCAGGCAGGAGGUCCUGGGUUCAAUCCCCAGUACCUCCA
rnacentral:tRNA from 1 species